UGCACAUGGCGUGGGAACCUGGAGUGAUGUGAUGGUCAAGGCGGGUCUCAGAGAGGAGAUGGCAUUUGAGCUGAGGCUGAAGGAUGAGAAGGAGGCACCCCUUCCUAGAGGGUGUUCCAGGGAGCCGGGCCAGCAUGAGCAACAGCCCUGAGGCCGGGCACAAGUCAGUCUGUUUGAGACACAGAAGGAAGCCCAGAGUGGCCACUCUGCAGUGAACGAGGGGGGCAGAGGAGCAACAUGAGGCUGGAAGAGACACACAGAGGAAGAGGAGGAAGCCAUGUGACCGUGCAUGCAAAGACAGGAGUGAUGCAGCCACAAGCCAAGGAACACAUGGAGCCACCAAAAGCUGGAGGAGGCGAGAAGCAGAUUCUCCCCUUGAGCCUCCAGAGAGAGAAUGGCCCUGCUGACACCUUGAUUUUGAACUUCUGGCCUCCAGACCAUGAGAAAAUACAUUUCCAUUUUAAGCAGUCAAAUCUGUGGCAGUUUGUUCCAGCAGCCCC